rnacentral:rRNA from 1 species
UACGUAGGGGGCGAGCGUUGUUCGGAUUUACUGGGCGUAAAGAGCGCGUAGGCGGUUUGGCAAGUCGGAGGUGAAAGCCCUUGGCUCAACCAAGGAGCCGCGUCCGAUACUACCAGACUUGAGUGCAGGAGAGGAGAGCGGAACUCCCAGUGUAGCGGUGAAAUGCGUAGAUAUUGGGAAGAACACCGGUGGCGAAGGCGGCUCUCUGGACUGUUACUGGCGCUGAGGCGCGAAAGCUAGGGGAGCAAACGGG